UACGUAGGUGGCAAGCGUUGUCCGGAUUUAUUGGGUUUAAAGGGUGCGUAGGCGGCCUAUUAAGUCAGUGCUGAAAUACUUCGGCUUAACCGGAGAGGUGGCAUUGAUACUGAUGGGCUUGAGUACAGAUGAGGUAGGCGGAAUUGACGGUGUAGCGGUGAAAUGCUUAGAUAUCGUCAAGAACACCUAUAGCGAAGGCAGCUUACUAGGCUGUAACUGACGCUGAGGCACGAAAGUGUGGGGAUCAAACAGG
rnacentral:rRNA from 2 species